AAGCCACCCCCCUUGGGACCCUUUCAUCAAAGCUGGUGGAGCCAAGAGCAGAUCUAACCCUGGGAGCAGAGAUGUAGAACAUGGACCCGGCAGUGUGGAGCCACCUGCCCAGCUUCUCCUGUUAGCAUUUCAUUUUGGAAAUACUGGGAACCAAAAAUAGAAGUUCUUGAGCAAAGCUUAAUCCUGCUGGCUUUCAAGACAGCUGCUGGAACGGUUGCGACUUGGCCACCAGAGUGCACUGUUGCCUGUGCAGGUGCUGAAAUGUGACCCAUAGUGGGCCAUUGUGAGUCAUUGUGGGCCCGAGAUUUCCCAGGAAAACCCAGAUGAUUCUUCCAGAACCCAUCCCAGGCCUGACUGCCUAGGAAAUGUGACAUACACAUCUAGGUGUUGGAUAUGGAAAAUGUGUAGUUAACAAACUGUGAGCAGCUUCAAAGAACAAAAUGUUAACCGUUGUAAACAUCUAACUGGCUUCCACCGGAGCCAAGAAGCAUCCACCUAGAAGACAGAAGAUUCUCAUAGGUCUGUCAGAGAGCUGCUUUCAUGGGCAGAGAAGGCUGAGAGAGAAGGAAGGUGCUGGUCCCAGGCUGGGUGCUUUUUAAAUUCCCUUCCUUCUAGGGAGCAUCUGUCAUUUCUCCUGCUUCUGUGAAGGGUAGAUCUUGGGCUUUGGUUUGGUGGUGUGGAGUUAGCAUGUGUGUUUGGUUCCUCUUUGGGUUGUCCUGUUGGGAACCCAGCUCAGAACUCAGUGCAGGUUAAUAGCCUUCCAUGUAUUUUAGUUCAUUUAAAAAUGUUUUAUGUUUGUGAAUGUGUGUAUGAUACCAUUUGUGAGUGAGGUGCAUGUGUGUAGGAUACAUGUUUGUGAGUGAGGUAUAUGUGUGUAGGAUACAUGUUUGUGUGUGAGGUGCAUGUGUGUAGGAUACAUGUUUGUGAGUGAGGUACAUGUGUGUAGGAUACAUGUUUGUGUGUGAGGUGCAUGUGUGUAGGAUACAUGUUUGUGUGUGAGGUGCAUGUGUGUAGGAUACAUGUUUGUGUGUGAGGUGCAUGUGUGUAGGAAACAUGUUUGUGAGUGAGGUGCAUGUGUGUAGGAUACAUGUUUGUGUGUGAGGUGCAUGUGUGUAGGAUACAUGUUUGUGUGUGAAGUACAUGUAUGCCACAGUGUGCAUAUCAGAGGAUAUUGGUGUUGUUUCUCAUGCUCCAUCUUGCUUCUGAGUCAGGAUCUCUUGUUUUCCACUGUUCUGCACAGUCCAGGCUAGCUGGCCAUGGGCUUCCAGAAUACUCUCCUGUCUGAGUACUAGAACUACAGAUGUGUGCCCCUACCCACUCCCCAAGAUUUCAAUAGCCCUUGUGCACCCCUACUCAAUUAAGAGCUGUUUGACUGAAAACUGUCUCCAGAGCCAGAUGCUGGACUCUGCCUGGGCAUCCUGAGGGCAGAAGCGGACCCUGGGGCCAGCAGUGCGAGCUAGAGCCCUGCCUCCUGGUCACAGCUGCUUUACUCUCUAACCUUCCUUUCCUUUUGUUUUGUUUUUGGUUUUUGGUUUUGGUUUUGGUUUUGGUUUUUGGUUUUUUGGGUUUUUUGUUGUUGUUGUUUUUUGGUUUUUGUUUUUU
rnacentral:lncRNA from 1 species